CCUACGGGUGGCAGCAGUGAGGAAUAUUGGUCAAUGGCCGGAAGGCUGAACCAGCCAUGCCGCGUGAAGGUCAGUGCCCUAUGGGCGUUAAACUUCUUUUGUGCGGGAGCAAUAAUGGUCACGUGUGGCCAGACGAGAGUACCGGACGAAUAAGCAUCAGCUAACUCCGUGCCAGCAGCCGCGGUAAUACGGGAGAUGCAAGAGUUAUCCGGAUUUAGUGGGUUUGAAGGGUGCGUAGGCUGGGAGGUAAGUCAGCGGUGAAAUGCCCCCGCUCAACGGGGUGAAGUGCCAUUGAUACUGCCAUGCUGGAAUGCGGAUGAGGUGGGAGGAAUGUGUGGUGUAGAGGUGAAAUGCAUAGAUAUCACACAGAACACCGAUUGCGAAGGCAUCUAACUAACCCGCGACUGACGCUGAUGAACGAAAGCGUGGGUAUCAAACAGGAUUAGAUACCCGAGUAGUC
rnacentral:rRNA from 1 species